rnacentral:rRNA from 1 species
UACGGAGGGUGCGAGCGUUGUUCGGAAUCACUGGGCGUAAAGGGCGUGUAGGCGGUCCGCUAAGUCUGAUGUGAAAGCCCGGGGCUCACCCCCGGAAGGGCAUUGGAAACUGGCGGACUCAAGUCCCGGAGAGGAAGGUGGAAUUCCUGGUGUAGCGGUGAAAUGCGUAGAUAUCAGGAGGAAUACCGGUGGCGAAGGCGGCCUUCUGGACGGUGACUGACGCUGAGACGCGAAAGCGUGGGGAGCAAACAGG